GUGAUAUCGGGCCACAGACAAGUGGCUGCGGGCCACCCACCGCAGUUGGCGCCGAACUACCAGCCUACCAGCAGCGCACGCUCUACCACAGAUGACAUGCACCGCUGAGUACUACCACUGUGCCAUUGUACUGAGCGCAGCACCACUUUUGCGUCAUGAUGUGGAGAAGUAGUGAACUACACCCCAGGGCAGAUGGCAAGGCCCGACCCAAAAGUAGUGCGUCUUACCGGCGAGAGCUCGGCGUGGCCACGACAUCUACUCUGUACAGCACACCGCUGCUUUCACGGAGACCACGCACAGCAGACGCUGCCGCCAAGUGCAGGCAGGCAGUGCAAAGAUGAAGUGCUUUUUCUGUCUUUUUGAGAUCGCAGACAUACAUUUUUCAUUUAUUUAACUCAAAAUGAGCAGCAAUAGUAUUAUCGAGAAUGUUCUCAUGAUCAUGAAAUUUGCCAAUAAUUGUUGGUGGGCUUGGCUGUUGCGACGUAGCUGCAUGAUGACAUUGUGAAGGAGAGAGCGAGAGGCUGUGUUGUGCACGAGAUUUGUAAAUUCCCUCCUGCAUGCAGUGCAAUAAUAUUUGGCUUACAUGUUGACAGAAGCCUAGCUUUAAGAUGUUCAAGCAGUGUUUAACAGCCCCUUUAAGGUUUGUGAUCUUGCACAAAGAUUGUUCAGUACAAUCCGCCGUCAAAGGGAACACGCAGCUAGUGAAAUGUGGUGUAAAGGCACCCAGGAUAAUUUUUGAUGUACAAAACAGGCUAAUUUAUGAUGUACAAAUUGAUUAACCCAGUUACUUCUUUCUGACAAAAACAAAGAAGCAUCCCAGUUGCACUGCCUUUAUCACUUGUCAGCUGUUCCUUUAAACAGUGCACAUUGUUGCCUCCAAUGCUAUGAAACACAGCUAAAGUUUCCCAGGAAAGCCUGCAGGUCAGGAGGACGCUAUAGCUACCUAAAUUCACAUACACUUAAAACAAAAAUACUCCUGUUUUUCCACAGCUAACAGUAUCAAGUGAAGUUUUUUCCCAAUAAAUAAACAAAGCGUAUUAAACUGACCUUUCAAAGCAGAUUUUGCAUUUAUGCCCUCAAAAAGCGUGUAGAAAAAAAAUGCAAUGAAGUUUCCCAUCCUGUAGCUCACCAGUUAACCCUUUCAGGACAGGCGACAAGUGGAGUCUUCACUUCUCUCAGGUGGUGCACUUGUCACAAAUAACAUCUGCAGGCGCAAGAAGUUGUUGAACAAGUUGGGAGCACAGAUUCACUCGUACACAGUGAAGCCCAUCCUCGUAUAAAAAAUCUUUUUCCAGCUAAACUUAACCUUCUUGACAGAAAUUUUUCACGUGGUCUUGCUUUACACGAUCGUCAGAAUAACUUGCACAGGAAGAAGACUCAUUUGAGUGCAGUGACGGUCACCUUUGCUAAAGUGUAAAUUUUUUUUUUUCGAAUAAAAUUCAUAUUUCUGACAAAUGUU